rnacentral:rRNA from 1 species
GACGAACGCUGGCGGCGUGCUUAACACAUGCAAGUCGAACGGAAAGGCCCUGCUUUUGUGGGGUGCUCGAGUGGCGAACGGGUGAGUAACACGUGAGUAACCUGCCCUUGACUUUGGGAUAACUUCAGGAAACUGGGGCUAAUACCGGAUAGGAGCUCCUGCUGCAUGGUGGGGGUUGGAAAGUUUCGGUGGUUGGGGGUGGACUCGCGGCUUAUCAGCUUGUUGGGGGGGUAGUGGCUUACCAAGGCUUUGACGGGUAGCCGGCCUGGGAGGGGGACCGGCCACAUUGGGACUGGGAUGAGGCCCAGCCUCCUACGGGAGGGAAGGGUGGGGAAUAGUGCACAAUGGGCGGGAGGCUGGUGCAGCCACGCCGCGUGGGGGAAGACGGGCUUCGGGUUGGAAACCGCUUUCCCCUGUGACGGAGGGUUAGUGACGGUAAUGGGUAAAGAAGCACCGGCUAACUACGUG